CCCUUAGAUGUUCUGGGCCGCACGCGCGCUACACUGACGAUGGCAACGAGUUUUUCCUUCGCCGAAAGGUGUGGGUAAUCUUUUGAAACAUCGUCGUGCUGGGGAUAGAUCAUUGCAAUUUUUGAUCUUGAACGAGGAAUUCCUAGUAAGCGCGAGUCAUCAGCUUGCGUUGAUUACGUCCCUGCCCUUUGUACACACCGCCCGUCGCUACUACCGAUUGAAUGGUUUAGUGAGGCCUUCGGAUCCGCGACUCGUUUGUGGAGAAGUUGGACAAACUCAGUCAUUUAGAGGAAGUAAAAGUCGUAACA
rnacentral:rRNA from 1 species